UACAGAGGGGGCAAGCGUUGUUCGGAAUUACUGGGCGUAAAGGGCGCGUAGGCGGCCUUCUAAGUCGGACGUGAAAUCCCUCGGCUUAACCGGGGAACUGCGUCCGAUACUGAAAGGCUUGAAUCCGGGAGAGGGAUGUGGAAUUCCCGGUGUAGAGGUGAAAUUCGUAGAUAUCGGGAGGAACACCGGUGGCGAAGGCGGCGACCUGGGUAGAUACUGACGCUGAGGUGCGAAGGCGUGGGGAGCAAACAGG
rnacentral:rRNA from 1 species